rnacentral:misc_RNA from 1 species
GAAGUGCGAUAACUAAUGUGAAUUGCAGCAUUCAGUGAAUCACCCAAUCUUUGAACGCACCUUGCGCCUUUUGGUAUUCCGAACGGCAUGCCUGUUUGCGUGUCAUGAAAUCUCAAUCCCCCCGGGUUUUCUGAACCCGAGGUGGACUUGGACAUGGGUUGCUGCCGGCUCGUACGGCUCGCCUUAAAUGACUCAGUGGGAUCUUCAGCAUCCGUGGCAGACGUAAUAAGUUUCGUCUCGUCCCUUGCUGUGAGGACCGCGCAUAACCUGCCAUCGCGCACCACUUUUGACUCUGACCUCAAAUCAGGUAGGACUACCCGCUGAACUUAA